AUUGAACGCUGGCGGCAUGCCUUACACAUGCAAGUCGAACGGUAACAGGUCUUCGGAUGCUGACGAGUGGCGAACGGGUGAGUACUACAUCGGAACGUGCCUAGUAGUGGGGGAUAACUACUCGAAAGAGUGGCUAAUACCGCAUGAGAUCUACGGAUGAAAGCAGGGGAUCGCAAGACCUUGUGCUACUAGAGCGGCCGAUGGCAGAUUAGGUAGUUGGUGGGAUAAAAGCUUACCAAGCCGACGAUCUGUAGCUGGUCUGAGAGGACGAUGAGCCACACUGGGACGGAGAAACGGCCCAGACUCCUACGGGAGGCAGCAGUGGGGAAUUUUGGACAAUGGGCGCAAGCCUGAUCCAGCAAUGCCGCGUGCAGGAUGAAGGCCUUCGGGUUGUAAACUGCUUUUGUACGGAACGAAAAGCCCCGGGUUAAUACCCUGGGGUCAUGACGGUACCGUAAGAAUAAGCACCGGCUAACUACGUGCCAGCCGCCGCCGCGG
rnacentral:rRNA from 1 species